UUGAUUAGGGAGAGCGGCGCUUGUUUCAUGUGGUUGUGCGUUUUGCUGUCUCGACUUCUUCUGAGCAUGAGUGUACUGUACUGGGCUGGGCGGUUGCCAGUGUUGCUGCAAACACUGCAUGAAGGUUACAUGAGAAAGUCUGAUGUCAAUUUCUACUCCUGUGUUGAUUCUGCAUGCUGAAGAUGAUAAUGUCAUACCAUUUGAGCUGGGCAGAAAGGGAGUUUGUCAUGACGAUUUGCAGAUAAAGGAACUUAGUUGGGUGAUGGCACAAAUCAAUUUUAUUUCCCCCCUCAAUUUUGGAUGCCAAAGAUUGACUGGCCACUGCUGAUACCAGAAGACAAUGGAUAAGAUUAAACAAGCAUUGCAGAUGACACUCAACAGCAGAGAUAAAAGCUCCAGACAAGGGUGAAGGAGGUGCAGAGAUUUCUGGCACCUACAGUUUUUCAUGAAGAUUGGGGAAGGCGCUUACAGAAAAACAUGCAUUUUCUCCAGGAAGUUUCACUGGUAAUUUAUCUGUAUUCAAGUUUAAACCCCUGUGUGCUGCUAAGUCAUGUAUCAUGAUCAACCCACAAGGUGGCAAGGUUCUCAGUGCAUCAGAUAUCAUGGCUGGGGUGGUGAACAUCAGCAGCAUUUCUGCUCUUGAUGUGCUAUCCAGUGGUAUUUGUUGGGAGAGGCAUUGUUUUGCACAGUUGAUGACAAAAGAAUUGAGCUAAACUGAUCUACCUUCUGUUGAGGAGCAAAGAUGGCAGACUUUGCAUUUGCAUUGCUCCUUUCAGAAUCUCACAAAGCACUUUGACAAUUAAGUACUUUCAAAGCACAACUGUUGUUCUGGAGAGAAACAAGGCAUAUUUGCACAUAGCUU